CUCAAGUAGCUUAACUUCUAUAGCAUCGGUCUUGUAAGCCGAAGAUGAGCCUUACCACUCCUGAGGCA
rnacentral:tRNA from 1 species